GUUCAGUGGUAGAACAUCCCCUUGCCAAGGUGGGGGUCGCGGGUUCGAAUCCCGUCG
rnacentral:tRNA from 1 species